rnacentral:rRNA from 3 species
UGGGGAAUAUUGGACAAUGGGCGAAAGCCUGAUCCAGCCAUGCCGCGUGUGUGAAGAAGGUCUUCGGAUUGUAAAGCACUUUAAGUUGGGAGGAAGGGCAGUAAGUUAAUACCUUGCUGUUUUGACGUUACCAACAGAAUAAGCACCGGCUAACUUCGUGCCAGCAGCCGCGGUAAUACGAAGGGUGCAAGCGUUAAUCGGAAUUACUGGGCGUAAAGCGCGCGUAGGUGGUUUGGUAAGAUGGAUGUGAAAUCCCCGGGCUCAACCUGGGAACUGCAUCCAUAACUGCCUGACUAGAGUACGGUAGAGGGUGGUGGAAUUUCCUGUGUAGCGGUGAAAUGCGUAGAUAUAGGAAGGAACACCAGUGGCGAAGGCGACCACCUGGACUGAUACUGACACUGAGGUGCGAAAGCGUGGGGAGCAAACAGG